rnacentral:rRNA from 1 species
UACGUAGGGUGCGAGCGUUAAUCGGAAUUACUGGGCGUAAAGCGUGCGCAGGCGGUCUGUUAAGACCGAUGUGAAAUCCCCGGGCUUAACCUGGGAACUGCAUUGGUGACUGGCAGGCUUUGAGUGUGGCAGAGGGAGGUAGAAUUCCACGUGUAGCAGUGAAAUGCGUAGAGAUGUGGAGGAAUACCGAUGGCGAAGGCAGCCUCCUGGGCCAACACUGACGCUGAGGCGCGAAAGCGUGGGGAGCAAACAGG